UACGUAGGGGGCAAGCGUUGUCCGGAAUCAUUGGGCGUAAAGAGCGUGUAGGCGGCCAGAUAAGUCCGCUGUGAAAUCUCGAGGCUCAACUUCGAGCUGUCGGUGGAAACUGUCUGGCUAGAGUCCGGAAGAGGAGAAUGGAAUUCCUGGUGUAGCGGUGAAAUGCGCAGAUAUCAGGAAGAACACCCGUGGCGAAGGCGGUUCUCUGGGACGGUACUGACGCUGAGACGCGAAAGCGUGGGAGCAAACAGG
rnacentral:rRNA from 1 species